rnacentral:rRNA from 1 species
AGCAGCCGCGGUAAUUCCAGCUCCAAUAGCGUAUAUUAAAGUUGUUGCAGUUAAAAAGCUCGUAGUUGAAUUUCGGGAUCAGUGGGUCGGUCGUGCCACUGGUAUGCACUGGCCCUACUGGUUCCUCCUUCUUGAAGAACUGUAAUGCCAUUAAUUUGGUGUUGCAGGGAAACAGGACUGUUACUUUGAAAAAUUAGAGUGUUUAAAGCAGGCAAUCGCUUGAAUACAUUAGCAUGGAAUAAUGAAAUAGGACGAUCGAUCCUAUUUUGUUGGUUUCUAGGAUUGACGUAAUGAUUAAUAGGGAUAGUUGGGGGCAUUAGUAUUCAAUUGUCAGAGGUGAAAUUCUUGGAUUUAUUGAAGACUAACUACUGCGAAAGCAUUUGCCAAGGAUGUUUUCAUUAAUCAAGAACGAAAGUUAGGGGAUCGAAGACGAUCAGAUACCGUCGUAGUCUUAACCAUAAACUAUGCCGACUAGGGAUCGGAUGAUGUUAAUUUUUAAUGA